GAAAGUGAAAGUGAUUUAAAGCUGGAAUCGCCAUUCUGUCAAGGCACGAAUAAGAUUCUGCAAAAAAAUAAAGAUAUUUUUAUUGCAAGAGGCCCCAGCAGGAAUCAUCUGGUCUGGAUCAGCACAAAAAUGGAUGGAACUGAUUCUGAAAUGCGCCCCCCUGUGGAGUGUAACAGAAAAAGCACUGAGAGAGACGAAAUGGAAGAAUGCAGUUCAGAUCUACAUGAUAAAUCGGGUUUAUCAUCCAUAUUGAAGUCACUAGAGGACAAAGCCGUAAAGUUCCUAAAGGAUGAGCUUAAGAAGUUUGUGAGGUACCUAGAUCAGAAUUACCCAGAAUUCUCUGAGCCUCUGCUGGAGGAGAACAAUGGCCCAGACAAUGAUGGUCAGAUGCAGAAGACCUGUGGCAGAGAGGGAGCUCUGAAGAUCAUACUGUACAUCCUGAGGACUAUGAAGCAAAAUGAUCUCGCUGACAUGCUGGAGAGGAGUAAGAGCCUCAUAACAUUCUGUACAUGUACAGUACUGUGCAAAAGUCUUAAGCAGCCAGAGAAAAGGAUCUUCAUUUUGGUUUGUGAGCCAAUCCAAAAACUUUCCUAAAGUCACCCCGGUAUUUGCAGAAAUCGUACAUCCAUGUAUUUUUUGACUUGACCACUAGCACACGUCAUGUGGCUAAUAAAUAUCUCAUUGACAUUUUUACUAAUUUAAUUAGUGAAUGAAGUGAGCUGGUGGUGAAAUGUAACAAACACAUGG